rnacentral:rRNA from 1 species
GCUUAAUAUUAAAAUUUUAUUUAGUUAAAUUUUAUAUAAUAAAAACUUAGUGGAUUAUAUUUAUUUUAUUGGGGCGAUAGAAGUAAAAUGAUUAAUAACUGCUUAAUUUUUUAUACAUUAAUAAUUGAUUAGCCAAUUUAAAUGAUCCUAAUUAAAGAUCAAAAGUUCAAGUU